CCCGGCAUCGCACUCGCCCGACGCGGCCGCGCGCGGAGAUUAUGACAUCCGCCGCGACCGGCGCAAGUGGAGCCGCUCCCGGUCGCCCUCCAGCCGCUCCGCCUCGCGCGGCCGCAGCCGCAGCCUCUCGCGCAGCGGGUGAGAGUUACUCUGAUUGGGAAUUCACUAGGCUUUUUGAUUUGUGCUAUUGCCGCUGUUGACGCUCAUUAACACGCCAUUAACAUGCCAUCUGCUGAGUUCUUUUGGCCUCCCCAGGGUGCCUUCCCAGGGUGCCGCUCAAGAUGUCUUUGAAUGUUGGGAUUUCAUUUCCAUCUCAGCGUUCUGCGGACUGCAAUCGCCUGGGUUUAGGUCGGCUCUGGCGGAAGCUUUCGUGGGCGAGUGUGGCAAUUUGUAUUGUGUGCUUUGGCUUAAGAAGUACUGGGUGAGGCAUGCCUGGUGGUUGUGAAAUGAGGGUGAGGUGUUUCUUGGUGCAGGAGUGCCAGGAGCAUGAGUCGCAGCUACAGCAGGAGCGUGAGUAGGAGCCGCAGCUACACCAGGAGCCCAAGGUGCGGGGUUUUGACCAGAUUAGACUUGUUUCCAAAUCUACGUCUUGCCUGCCUUUUUGAAUGUACCGGGUAGGCCUUUCAGCAGUCUUACUGACACAGCCAAUUGCUGCGCGCAGGAGGGAUGGUACAAGAGGCCGCAGGGGCCGGCAGUCUAGCCCUGGAUA
rnacentral:lncRNA from 1 species